GGGGGGGGGGGGGGGGGGGGGGGGGGGGGGCGGGGGGGGGGGGGGGGGGGGGGUGGCGGCGGGGGGCGGCGGGGGGGGGGGGGGUGAGGGCGAGGAAGCGGGCUGGUGGGGGGGGGUGACGGCCGGAAGCGGGCGGGAAUACCGCAGACGGGCUGGUGGGGAAAGUGGGGGAGCUUCGGACCUCCCGCUGUCAGAUGUGCCUAGGUCGGAUUAGCUAGUUGGUGGGGUAAAGGCCGACCAAGGCGACGAUCCGUAACUGGUCUGAGGGGAUGAUCAGUCACACUGGAACUGAGACACGGUCCAGACUCCUACGGGAGGCAGCAGUGGGGAAUAUUGGACAAUGGGCGAAAGCCUGAUCCAGCCAUGCCGCGUGUGUGAAGAAGGUCUUCGGAUUGUAAAGCACUUUAAGUUGGGAGGAAGGGCAGUAAGUUAAUACCUUGCUGUUUUGACGUUACCAACAGAAUAAGCACCGGCUAACUUCGUG
rnacentral:rRNA from 1 species